AUGGUGACUAUUAUUGGCAGAGCAAGAGACUCAUCCAGCCUAACCUCCCCACUUUUCCUAGCUCCGAAGGCUCAGUGACCUCAGCUGCUGUCCUCCCUGCUCCUCCUCCGGAGCCUGCAGCGUUUCCACUGCUCAGCCUUGCUCCUGCUGCUCAUCCCAGUGCUUGAGAUGGUUUUUGCCCUGAGAGGGACCGGAGCCCAGUCGGUGACCCAGCCUGACGUCCACAUCACUGUCUCUGAGGGAGCCCCUCUGGAGCUGAGGUGCAACUACCGGUUUUCUCUUCCGUCAUCUCUCUUCUGGUACGUGCAAUAUCCCAACCGAGGACUCCAGCUUCUCCUGAAGUACAUAUCCGGAAACAGCCUUGUUUCAGGCGUCAAAAGUUUUGAGGCUGAAUUUAAGAAGAGUGAAACCUCCUUCCACCUGAGGAAACCUUCAGCCCAUUGGAGCGACUUGGCCGAGUACUUCUGUGCUCUGAGUGACACACCAUGCCUGGAACUGCAGGGGGAGCUGAACACAAACCUCCUGAGACACUGGAACUUUCUGUGA